UACGUAGGUGGCGAGCGUUGUCCGGAUUUACUGGGCGUAAAGAGCGCGCAGGCGGUCGUGCAAGUCGCGUGUGAAAGCCCCCGGCUCAACUGGGGAGGGUCACGCGAUACUGUUCGACUUGAAGGCAGGAGAGGGAAGUGGAAUUCCCGGUGUAGUGGUGAAAUGCGUAGAUAUCGGGAGGAACACCAGUGGCGAAGGCGACUUCCUGGCCUGUUCUUGACGCUGAGGCGCGAAAGCUAGGGUAGCAAACGGG
rnacentral:rRNA from 1 species